rnacentral:rRNA from 1 species
AGAGUUUGAUCCUGGCUCAGAUUGAACGCUGGCGGCAUGCCUUACACAUGAAAGUCGAACGGCAGCGGGCCUUCGGGUGCCGGCGAGUGGCGAACGGGUGAGUAAUGCAUCGGAACGUGCCAUUGAGUGGGGGAUAACGUAGCGAAAGUUACGCUAAUACCGCAUAUUCUGUGAGCAGGAAAGCAGGGGACCGCAAGGCCUUGCGCUCUUUGAGCGGCCGAUGUCAGAUUAGCUAGUUGGUGAGGUAAAGGCUUACCAAGGCGACGAUCUGUAGCGGGUCUGAGAGGAUGAUCCGCCACACUGGAACUGAGACACGGUCCAGACUCCUACGGGAGGCAGCAGUGGGGAAUUUUGGACAAUGGGCGCAAGCCUGAUCCAGCCAUGCCGCGUGAGUGAAGAAGGCCUUCGGGUUGUAAAGCUCUUUCGGCCGGGAAGAAAUCGCAUGGGUUAAUACCCUGUGUGGAUGACGGUACCGGAAUAAGAAGCACCGGCUAACUACGUG